UACGGGGGGGGCAAGCGUUGUUCGGAAUUACUGGGCGUAAAGGGCUCGUAGGCGGCCAACUCAGUCGGACGUGAAAUCCCUCGGCUUAACCGGGGAACUGCGUCCGAUACUGGAUGGCUUGAGUGUGGGAGAGGGAUGCGGAAUUCCAGGUGUAGCGGUGAAAUGCGUAGAUAUCUGGAGGAACACCGGUGGCGAAGGCGGCAUCCUGGACUGCUACUGACGCUGAGGAGCGAAAGCCAGGGGAGCAAACGGG
rnacentral:rRNA from 1 species